UCAUUUUAGCCCAUAGUUGUUUUGUUCGGAUCGCGGAGCCUGGAACGAGUAAAUUGUGGAACUAUUUGAUUAAUAAAGGCUAUGUUUUCCCUCAAGCACCCCUCUGCCCCCUUUAAAUCGGUCGCUGCGCCUCGGGAAGGGGUAUUUUGAUGAUGUUUCAUAAGCUAGUGCUUCUCUCUCUGAAUCUUUGAAAUAACUCUGAUCCUCUUCUGUCUAGCUUUUUUUUUUCUUCUGUAUUUGGCUAUGUACUUCACGGGUCAAUCCUGUAUCGACCCUCUUGACAAUAAAUAACAUGUUUUGUUGUUUUGUGGAAAAAACCAAAGAAGUUUCGUGCCACCAAAACUGGACUGUUG
rnacentral:lncRNA from 1 species